UUCCCUCUCUCUCUCUCUUUCUCUCUCCGUCCCUUUUACUUCCACCUUUCAAUUGCUUGGCUUGUUUGCUCUAUGUGAUGAGAUUCUGUUUGUCAGUGUCAGCUGGUUUGGACUGUGGAGUCUUGAUUGUUUUGGGUUUGGGGGAAAGCUUGAGACUUUGAUGAGUGCGGUAUGGAAGUGGUGUGUUUUUCUUUGGUGGAUUUUGUUGAUUAGGGUUUUUGAAAAGAAGAAGAAAAAGGCCUCUUUUGUUGGCUGUGGGGAUGUGGUUGCUGCUAAGUUUUAUGAUCUCAAAUGUCUUGGAUUCCUUGACUUGCAAUUUGCUUUGUUUGAUGGCAGAUGAAUGUACUUGUGACUCACCUAACUUGCAGUCAUUUUCAAAA
rnacentral:lncRNA from 1 species